UACAGAGGAGCCAAGCGUUGUCCGGAUUGACUGGGCGUAAAGCGCACGCUGGCGGGGGUGCGCGUGGGGUGUGAAAUCUGGCCGCUUAACGGCCAGGCGCCAUCCCAUACGGCACGCCUGGAGCCUUGCAGAGGUCGGUGGAAUUGCCGGUGUAGUGGUGAAAUGCGUAGAGAUCGGCAGGAACACCCAGGGGGAAACCAGCCUACAGGGCAAGUGCUGACGCUGAGGUGCGAGAGCGUGGGGAGCGAACCGG
rnacentral:rRNA from 1 species